AGAGUUUGAUCAUGGCUCAGAUUGAACGCUGGCGGCAGGCCUAACACAUGCAAGUCGAACGGUAACAGGAAACAGCUUGCUGUUUCGCUGACGAGUGGCGGACGGGUGAGUAAUGUCUGGGAAACUGCCUGAUGGAGGGGGAUAACUACUGGAAACGGUAGCUAAUACCGCAUAACGUCGCAAGACCAAAGAGGGGGACCUUCGGGCCUCUUGCCAUCGGAUGUGCCCAGAUGGGAUUAGCUUGUUGGUGGGGUAACGGCUCACCAAGGCGACGAUCCCUAGCUGGUCUGAGAGGAUGACCAGCCACACUGGAACUGAGACACGGUCCAGACUCCUACGGGAGGCAGCAGUGGGGAAUAUUGCACAAUGGGCGCAAGCCUGAUGCAGCCAUGCCGCGUGUAUGAAGAAGGCCUUCGGGUUGUAAAGUACUUUCAGCGGGGAGGAAGGGAGUAAAGUUAAUACCUUUGCUCAUUGACGUUACCCGCAGAAGAAGCACCGGCUAACUCCGUGCCAGCAGCCGCGGUAAUACGGAGGGUGCAAGCGUUAAUCGGAAUUACUGGGCGUAAAGCGCACGCAGGCGGUUUGUUAAGUCAGAUGUGAAAUCCCCGGGCUCAACCUGGGAACUGCAUCUGAUACUGGCAAGCUUGAGUCUCGUAGAGGGGGGUAGAAUUCCAGGUGUAGCGGUGAAAUGCGUAGAGAUCUGGAGGAAUACCGGUGGCGAAGGCGGCCCCCUGGACGAAGACUGACGCUCAGGUGCGAAAGCGUGGGGAGCAAACAGGAUUAGAUACCCUGGUAGUCCACGCCGUAAACGAUGUCGACUUGGAGGUUGUGCCCUUGAGGCGUGGCUUCCGGAGCUAACGCGUUAAGUCGACCGCCUGGGGAGUACGGCCGCAAGGUUAAAACUCAAAUGAAUUGACGGGGGCCCGCACAAGCGGUGGAGCAUGUGGUUUAAUUCGAUGCAACGCGAAGAACCUUACCUGGUCUUGACAUCCACAGAACUUUCCAGAGAUGGAUUGGUGCCUUCGGGAACUGUGAGACAGGUGCUGCAUGGCUGUCGUCAGCUCGUGUUGUGAAAUGUUGGGUUAAGUCCCGCAACGAGCGCAACCCUUAUCCUUUGUUGCCAGCGGUCCGGCCGGGAACUCAAAGGAGACUGCCAGUGAUAAACGUGGAGGAAGGUGGGGAUGACGUCAAGUCAUCAUGGCCCUUACGACCAGGGCUACACACGUGCUACAAUGGCGCAUACAAAGAGAAGCGACCUCGCGAGAGCAAGCGGACCUCAUAAAGUGCGUCGUAGUCCGGAUUGGAGUCUGCAACUCGACUCCAUGAAGUCGGAAUCGCUAGUAAUCGUGGAUCAGAAUGCCACGGUGAAUACGUUCCCGGGCCUUGUACACACCGCCCGUCACACCAUGGGAGUGGGUUGCAAAAGAAGUAGGUAGCUUAACCUUCGGGAGGGCGCUUACCACUUUGUGAUUCAUGACUGGGGUGAAGUCGUAACAAGGUAACCGUAGGGGAACCUGCGGUUGGAUCACCU
rnacentral:rRNA from 1 species